GACGAACGCUGGCGGCGUGCGUAAUACAUGCAAGUAGAACGCUGAAGGAGGAGCUUGCUUCUCUGGAUGAGUUGCGAACGGGUGAGUAACGCGUAGGUAACCUGCCUGGUAGCGGGGGAUAACUAUUGGAAACGAUAGCUAAUACCGCAUAAGAGUAGAUGUUGCAUGACAUUUGCUUAAAAGGUGCAAUUGCAUCACUACCAGAUGGACCUGCGUUGUAUUAGCUAGUUGGUGGGGUAACGGCUCACCAAGGCGACGAUACAUAGCCGACCUGAGAGGGUGAUCGGCCACACUGGGACUGAGACACGGCCCAGACUCCUACGGGAGGCAGCAGUAGGGAAUCUUCGGCAAUGGACGGAAGUCUGACCGAGCAACGCCGCGUGAGUGAAGAAGGUUUUCGGAUCGUAAAGCUCUGUUGUAAGAGAAGAACGAGUGUGAGAGUGGAAAGUUCACACUGUGACGGUAUCUUACCAGAAAGGGACGGCUAACUACGUGCCAGCAGCCGCGGUAAUACGUAGGUCCCGAGCGUUGUCCGGAUUUAUUGGGCGUAAAGCGAGCGCAGGCGGUUAGAUAAGUCUGAAGUUAAAGGCUGUGGCUUAACCAUAGUACGCUUUGGAAACUGUUUAACUUGAGUGCAAGAGGGGAGAGUGGAAUUCCAUGUGUAGCGGUGAAAUGCGUAGAUAUAUGGAGGAACACCGGUGGCGAAAGCGGCUCUCUGGCUUGUAACUGACGCUGAGGCUCGAAAGCGUGGGGAGCAAACAGG
rnacentral:rRNA from 1 species